GCAGUGGUGGCUCAGUGGUAGAAUUCUCGCCUUCCAUGCGGAAGACCCAGGUUCAAUUCCUGGCCAAUGCA
rnacentral:tRNA from 1 species